GGACCAGUCACGGCUAUAUAAUUUGUUUCUUUUUGCAUCUUUAGUGGAAUUGAUGUCAUACAAAUAACUGAUUACUUGGUGUUUGAUUGAUAACAUUUGAAUUAGUUGAUUUAUAAUAUAUGUUUUGUAGACUGGUAUAGUUAAAUCUUUUUUUGAGCAAUGGUAUAAUUAAAUCAUAUACUCGUUAUAGUGUUAUUUUUCACUUGAGUUUCAGUUUUGAUUUGUGUGUAAUAUUGUUCAUUAUGGAUACUCAAAAGCGCUGAGCUGUAUAUCGUCAUUUCACAAAUUUACUUUUUGGUAUGAAUGUUAAAUUUUAUACCAUUUUGAGUUUUUGACAGAAGAUACAGAGAAAACUAGUAGCAGGAACAAGUAAAGACAACUAAACAACACCAAAAUACAAAAGGAAAACACAGUAAAUAGUAGAAAUGCAAUAACUGAUACUGAUCUUGAAUAACAGAACAACUCUCUUUGCCUAGGAUCGCAGUGAGCCAAGAGCUGGAGUCUCAUUGUUGUGGCUGCUAAGUUGCCGCGAGUUUACGGAGAAUUGGCCAGCCCUCAAAACCACUCCGGACCUACAGCUUCAUCACAUACACGCCUUUGAUAACCUGCAAAAUUAGCACACACAUCUUCCAAGUUUCACAAUGGCUCAAGCGAAUGCAUUCGGAGUGAACGGUUCGGCCCGGUAAAAACCGGAGAUCCGGAUAAAGGUGAAACUGUAUGCCUCUGUUCCACCGAUCUAGCCAAAACCUUUGCCGCACAGUUAGCUAAUCUGUGCUACCGCAUGAAACGUCAACUCAUCCGCCGAGUACCACUGCAAAACACAUAAAUGCUGGUCACACCAGACAUUGAUUGACUGUUGCGCUUCUUCUCCAUCCUACCAAGCCAAGCAUUCAUACAAACCACUGCUCUUAUUCGGAAAGACGCGUGAAAGGUAAAGUUUGCCACACCAUCGAACUGCCCAACAAAGAAGAAGCUUCAAGCCCAUGAAAUCCUCUGCGCAUAUCACUUCUUCACGGCCAGAGAAGCAAGUGUGACGCCAUCAGCUAUCCACACGCGCGUAGAUAGCCCCACACACCACUGCAAACCCGCAGAAUUCUUCCUCGUGCACAGCCAACAUAGAAGAUUGAGAGUAGAAAAACACCCAGGUAACAACUCUCAAACUCAUGUUUCAUGGUACAGAUCUGGAAUGGAGGGUGAGCGUAGGGAACAAACGUCACUUCCCUAACCCAUCUCCAACAACCGUCUGACCAACGAUAGUCCCCGCACUAACACACCCCGAGAUAUCCCUAACCCGCUCAAGCUACCAUCGGAGAUCUAAACCCGACUGGCUAGAAACAGAGACAACUUACAGGUACAGUCCUCAAGCACCAUGCCACCGCCUGCGAACAGCCAUAUCCGAGAAAAGCCUCCAGAUCUGAGUCGGGAAGAGGACAUCCCCCGUCGCCGAGCCAACCACCACCGACCCCUAACCCUGCCUCGCCGAAUCACCACCAAGCAGAGAUGCGAGCAUAUCAACAGAGAGGGAGAAGGAAGGUGAGAGGCGAACAUAAAGAAAAAACACAGAGGCCGGCGGUAGAGGCGACUGCCGCCACCACCGGCAAAAUUAGGGUUUCGAAGCUUUGGUCUCAGAAAAGGGGAUGAGAGAAAACUUUUCUAAGAGAGAGGAAAAUUGCUCACCCCUAUGCACUAAUUC
rnacentral:lncRNA from 1 species